CCGCGAUAGGUCAUUGUUUCUGGAAUGGGCAAUGGCUCAAACCUACAUGGCCCCAGGAUGGCACUGCGGCCGAUCAGGUUGUUGGUGAGGUAAUGGCCCACCAAGCCUGUAACCGGUACGGGCUCUGAGAGGAGGAGCCCGGAGAUGGGCACUGAGACAAGGGCCCAGGUCCUAUGGGAUGCAGCAGGCGCGAAACCUUCGCAAUAGGCGAAAGCCUGACGAGGUUAAUCCGAGUGUUUUCCGCUAAGGGAAACUUUUGCCAGCUCUAAAACGGCUGGUGAAUAAGGGGUGGGCAAGUCUGGUGUCAGCCGCCGCGGUAAUACCAGCACCCCGAGUGGUCGGGACGAUUAUUUAGCCUAAAGCAUCCGUAGCCGGUCCGUCAAGUCUCCCGUUAAAUCCACCUGCUCAACAGAUGGGCUGCGGGGGAAACUGACGGACUAGGAGGCGGGAGAGGCGAGGGGUAUUCCAUGGGUAGGGGUAAAAUCCUCUGAUCCGUGGAGGACCACCAGUGGCGAAGGCGUCUCGCCAGAACGCGCUCGACGGUGAGGGAUGAAAGCUGGGGGAGCAAACCGGAUUAGAUACCCGGGUAGUCCCAGCUGUAAACGAUGUAGGCUCGGUGAUGGACUGGAUUCGAUCCAGCCCAGUGCCGCAGGGAGGCCGUUAAGCCUACCGCCUGGGGAGUACGGUCGCAAGACUGAAACUUAAAGGAAUUGGCGGGGGAGCACCACAAGGGGUGAAGCCUGCGGUUCAUU
rnacentral:rRNA from 1 species